rnacentral:lncRNA from 1 species
AUUAAGAGCUUAGAAUUGCCAUUAAGAGCCUUUUUAGCCAUGCAUACACGUAAAGUUUGCAACUUUACGUGAAAAGCAUGCUCUAGAAGCUUGGAUCUAUAAUUUGGAGCCAUUGCAUGGCUUAAAUGUGACAACCUGAAAUUUCCAUUUUCUACGAACAUUAUCUUUUCAAUAGAAGCUAGACCAGUUUCAAUGAAUUUCACACUUUUCCGAAUAAGUUUGUGUACAAUAGGGUUUAUGUUUAAGGAGAUAUCAGGAGAGUGGAUGCUCAUGGGUUUGUGAAACUUGAGUAUUUCAAAACUUCAUAAUGUUAGAGUUCAAUUCCGGAAUAAAAAUAUUUUCUGCCAAAAAUAUUUCAGGACUAUAAAUAGAUUUCUGAACCAAAUUCAUUCAUUAUUCACAUUUCCAACUAGAGAAAAGCCAUUUUCUCUCUCACGGAUCUUCGGGUUUUCAUCCCAAAUCGUGAGUACACUUCUCUAGUUGUGUUAUAAUGCUUGUUAUAUGCUUAAUAACAUAGAUUACAUGUCAAAUAUAUGAGAUUCGGGAGUUUACCGCCCAAGAACGUUCUUGGGGAGUAAACUCCAAAAUGAAGCUUAAAGGCUAUCUAGUCCCAUUUCCUCGUUAAGUAACUAGAUUAGGAUUAUAUGUAUGUAUAUUUGAGACUAGAAAACAAUCAAAAACACCUAGCUUAGGUUGUUCACGGCCCAAGAACUUCUUGGACCGUGAACUCCAAAUUCAAGGGCCAAAAUGUGCCCUAAUCACUCCUAAGGCUUUAGACAUUAACCCUCAUUUACUUCUAGCUAAUUUGUGGACUUUAAAACAUCAAAAGCACCCCUUAAAGGGAGUUUACUGCCAAGGAAAUACUCUUAGGCCGUAAACACCAAAUGAGGGCACCAAAGUGUGCCUAGGGUCCUCAUUAGCCUUAAACAAAUGCCUAGAAAUUAUCCUACUUGUGCUUGGGACUUGAAAGAAUAAAAAUACCCAUCCCAUGAGAGUUUACGGCCGUAAACUCUAAGGGAUUUGGCCUUGGGGCCGUAAACUCCUCAAAGGAGUAUUUCUAUGCCCUAAACUACCCAAAGGAUUAAACAACCAAUCAAUGCUUAUUCUAGAAAUCAAAUAGCACUUCAAAACAUCAAUUACCACCAAGAUUGGAUUUCAUGGCCGUAAAAUCAAGGGUUUACGACCGUAAACUCCUUGUGUGGGGUUUAUUGAGGAGUAAACACUUAUAUAAGGCCCUUUGGUACAUUAAACCCCUUUAGCCUUGUCCCAUACAAAGUGUUUACAAGUUCCUGAGUGUCCCAACUUAUUUCAUUAGUUAUUAUUUGGAUAAUUAGUUAUAUAUAUGCUCAUUAUAUGAUAACUAGGCUCGUGCGUGUGAACAAGUCUCCGUUUGCCACCUAGCACGGUAUCCGACACUACAAUCCAAACCACUCACCACAAGUGAGCUCAUACCCCUUUAAUUAACCUUUGAAAUACUUUUAAAUCUUUUAAAUACUUUUAUGGGGGGGAAUACAAGUUAAAUACUUAUAGUUAUUGCUUCAAUCACAUGUGAUUGCAUUAAUCACAUGUGAUUAAUAACUAGGAAACCAAUGAUUUUAUCACUGUUCAAACUGUUUAUCAAACUGUUUUACUUCAAAAUGUUUUACAAACUCUUUUACUUAUCAAAUGCUAUUAUUUAAACUUUGUUUUACUUCUUAUAAAUUGCAUGCCCAUAUAUGUAUAGAUGUAUAAAUAAUGUUUAAAGGGCUUAGGAAGGCCAUCCGCCCUAUUUCCUUUUUCUCGAUUUGGAUGUGGUCUGGUGGGAUUUCGGGUGACCAUCCGAAGGUCGUUUCAAUAUUAAUUAUAUAUCAAAUAUACAUAUAUAGACAUAAAAGUACUUCCAUAUUCAUGCGUACUAUACACAUCAUUAGUAAGUUACCAUCGGGGUAACACAGGAUCAUACUACUACAACUUCUAGAUCAAUGAGUCAGUUCAUUCAUGAGUAUAUACAUUACAUUACUAUGAGAACAUAUACAACUAUACUAGAAAGAGAACAUAUACAACUAUACUAGAAGGAGAACAUAUACAACUAUACUAGAAAGAGAACAUAUACAACUAUACUAGAAAGAGAACAUAUACAACUAUACUAGAAAGGGAACAUAUACAACUAUAUUACAAAGAGAACAUAUACAACUAUACUAGAAAGAGAACAUAUACAACUAUACUAGAAAGAGAACAUAUACAACUAUACUAGAAAGAGAACAUAUACAACUAUACUAGGAAGAGAACAUAUACAACGAUACUAGAACAAGUAACAUUACAUUACAUAUACAUGAAUACGUUAACAAUUGUGAUCCACUGUAUCGGAGCAUGCCUUAAAUGUCAUGGCCCGAGUUGUAGCCAGAAUUCUCUUGGAGGGAGAGCGUGAGUUUGCGUAUAGAUCUAUACUGGAUUGACUAUCCUACACCUUGCUGCUAGCUACAGCCGGACCUGCAGGUCUGCGGGUGCCAAACGUCAUUCCGUUAUUACGACCAUUCGUAUGUCGUUGUUACCAGUCGAUAGUAUGGUGCAAUUAAUCACAUGAUACCUUAAUAUAAAUCCGGUUUAAGGUAGUUAGUACAGCAGUAGUUCCUAUAAUACAACACUACAGUACUACAAUAAUUUACCCAUUACAUAUAUUUAGUGAUUAUUUCACUUAAACAUUAAUGUACAAACUAUAUUUUGUUAAAUGAUAGUUACACUUGGGAAAUUACACACUUUUACAACAAACGAGCAUACAAAACAGUUAAGCCUUGGUAGAAGGCUACUUUAAUAGAAUUAUAGGUUUUUCUGAGAGAUUCAAUCUUUUACAAACACUUACAAACAUUUACUUACAUUUUUGAAACUUACACUUGAGACAUGUUCAAACGUUUUUGAUAACAAACAUCGACACUAAAAUACUUAUGAACUCACCAGCUUAAUGCUGAUAAACUCUUUCAAAAUAACUUGUAUUCUCAGGUCAUCAGUAGACAGGUACCGAUGCCAGCUUUUGAGAAGAUGGAGCGCAUCCAAGACUCAUCUUAUUAUUUUGAUUUACAUUAUAUUUUUGGUGUCUAAAACUGUACAGAACACGCUUGUAUUAAAAUUAUAUAUUUAAUGCAAUGGAUGAUGUUGUUUGCUUAUUUACAUUUACUGUGUUGUGAUACUUUACAUGACGUCCUCCGCCCCAGAACGUUUCCGCCGUUCUUGGUUUUGGGGUGUGACAGAUUGGUAUCAGAGCAUUGUUUAUAGUGAAUCAAGUAUAUUAACCCAUAAAAGAUAUACUAAACUAUAAACCCAUUAGGGAUUAAAGCACUCUGACCAAGAGUCUAUACUUUAAAUAUUAAAAUAUUUAAUUAAGUAUACUAGUCUGCAUUCAUACUAAAAUCAGUGUCACAAUGACAAGAACAAAAGUAUUACGAUUGUUAAAUAUCACAAGUGACCUCGGGGAUGUAUGAUCAGUCCUGGGAAUGGCAUAGCCUGAUCAACUAUGCUGGUCCGAGGAGUGAUUAGCAUAUGCCCUAGAAUUUUUGUGAUGUGUUAACAAGUCUAAAAACCUACCAACAAUACCACAAGAAGAUCAGUAGAACUUAAACUUAAAAUACUAUAGGUGUAUUUUGUACUACUAGCUACAUGUAUACUAUAUUCUUAUACCUCACUUCUCGCGUAGAUUUAAAUGGCUGGAUUUCAUCACGGCGACCCGUACUUUCCAAAUGAAGGCAAUGCUGGGUGGAUCGAAGAAGAGCCCGAAGAUGAGCAUCCAAUCCCUUUGGAUGAUCACCUCGUAGAAGGCUUUUCUUAUGGAUCUGACUCUGAGCCCGAAGUCAACAACCUACCGCUAGUAGGUCAAGCCCCGAACAACAACCCCCGACCAGCUUUUCUAGGUCCUAAUCCCUUGUGGGCAACCAAAUUGAAUCGCUGGAGUGAUGAACAAGGUCAACCCUUACCUUACUUUGGGGACCGAAGCUUUUAGAACGUCAGUGAAGGUGGUUCUGCUGACCGAGCUCUGCCCGUCAUUAUCCGCAGAAUAGCUCGUAAUGUUGAGCAAGGUCGAGCAGCCAUCGACCGGGUCAUGGAGAUUGAUGCCAACUCUGGUGUCAACAAAGUCCGCAUCCGCCGUCUUGAAGAAGACAUGGAACGGACUCGGAGAACCAAUGAAACCCUGCAGCAACAGCUGGCUGCCUCCCGAGCUGAAGUCUUGGAACUUCGAGCCUGCCAGAGAGCUCAGGAGCGACACCUUCAAGAGGUGUUUCGUCAAGUGUCAGACCUCAGGGAUCGCCCGAGGAAUUCCCAUCGCCGUUAGAUGAUGUCUAGUACAUCUCUGUCUUUUGGUUAAGGAAUAGCCUUUAACAUCUAUGCUCUAAGUAGCACAUGUCUAUAAAAUAUUCCUAACUUUCAGUACUCUCAUUAGGAAUCUAAGGACUGUCAAACUUUUCCGUAUGGUAUGAUGUAAGACCUACAGUUAGGUCGAUGUUCCCUGAACUUAUUACAUCGGUAAGACCAAUAUUAUUGACGUCUAUCUAAUCUGUGGGAAAAAUUUGUACACUUGGGUUUUCCUACUAAUAUUCUUUGUUGUGAUCUCUAACACUCAAUCAACUGUUGGGAUAUGGUUAGUUAGUCCAUGUGUCACUCUCACCUUACUUACCAAUUGAUUCUUACCAUUUUUCUUAUCUUUAUAAACUUAUAGCUGAAAGACGCCUCCUCGCAAAUCUCCCCGGAAUAACCCUGCACCUCCACCGCCUCCUCCGCCUCCGGCCAUCCAUACUGCAGCCCUGAAUGCUGCCGUAGCUGCAGCAGUGGCAACUGCCAUGGCUCAGUAUCACUCAUCUGAUGCCAGCAGAGGUGGAACCCCUGUUGAAUCAAUUCCGGUUGAAACCCUUGUGCGCUCGAGAGAGUGCUCCUACAAGGAUUUCACCAAUUGCAAGCCGAAGUCUUUCCAUGGCACCGGCGGAGUCAUUGCCCUCUCGCAAUGGUUCGAGAAGACUGAAUCAGUCUUCGAAAUCUGUUCAUGCCCUGCUGCGAGCAAAGUCAAAUAUGCCGCAUGCACCUUUGAGGGAAAGGCCCUGACGUGGUGGAACGGCCACGUUAAAGCUCUAACCCUCGUCGUAGCCAACGACAUGGGCUGGGAAACAAUGAAAGACCUCAUGAUUGAGGAAUACUGCCCGAGGGGCGAAAUCCAGAAAUUGGAGCAGGAACUUUGGAACCUGACUAUGAAGGGCACCAACGUGGUCGCUUAUACUGCCUGAUUCAGCAAACUGGUGGCCCUCUGCCCCAAUAUGGUUCCCACUGAGGGGAAAAAUAUCGAAUGUUACAUAUGGGGUCUAGUGCCUCCGUAUCAGGGGAAUGUCCUAGCAUCAAACCCCGCUACCUUCGAUAGUGCCAAGCGACUGGAACAGUGACUCAUUGACCAUGGAGUCAAAACCCCUGCAACAACAAUCACCCUAGCCAUCCCGGAACCCUCCAAACCCGCUGACACCAAGCGGAAGUUCUGGGAAGACAAGAAGAAAUAGCGAGCUGCUAAAAAGNUGUGCAUGCCGCAAUAACCCCUGCUGCUGCUACUGCUCCGGUGAGGCAGUAUGCUGGAAGUUUGCCUAAGUGCAACAAAUGCAACUUCCACCACAACGCCCCCUGCCGUGAAAUGCAGUGCUCUAACUGCAGCAGGAAAGGACACACCAUCCGUUUCUGUAAAUUCCCGGCGAGACCGAUCACCGAAGUCCCCGGAUCUGGCGCGAGCCCAACCUGCUACGGAUGUGGCGAAGCAGGCCACUAUAAGAGGGACUGCCCUAAAGCGAAGAAUGCUGGAGGAGCGGGGAGGGUACUAGCAAUAGGACAUGGGGAAGCAGUCGCUGACCCGAUAGUGGUGACUGGUACGUUCCUCCUAGAUAACUCUUAUGCAUGCAUUCUAUUCGAUAGUGGAGCGGAGAGAAGCUUCAUGAACCACAAAUUUGCUCACAUGCUAAAGCAACAACCACACACACUNGGAACAAUUCACAGUAGAAAUGGCUAAUGGAAAAAUUGAAAGUACGAAUAGCAUAUACUUAGGUUGUACCCUAACUCUAGAUAACCAUUCAUUCCCAAUCGACCUCAUGCCGGUCUCAAUAAAAAGCUUCGACGUUAUCAUCGGCAUGGAUUGGUUAUGUCUUCAUCACGCCAACAUCAUGUGCUACGAGAAAGCGGUCCGUCUAAACCUUCCGUCUAACGAAACUCUUAUCGUCUACGGCGACAAACCCGGUGCGAGUCUUUGUAUAAUAUCAAAUAUUCAAGCACAGAAGUAUCUGCGUAAAGAAUACCAUGCAUUCCUUGCUCACGUCGUCGAUACGAGCCUUGAAACGAAAGAACUAAAGAACAUCCCAGUAGUGAGCGACUUCCCCGACAUUUUCCCAGAAGAGCUACCUGGAUUACCUCCGCAACGACAGGUCGAGUUCAGAAUCGACUUAGUCCCAGGAGCUACCCCAGUAGCCAAGUCGCCCUACCGUUUAGCACCAGCUGAGAUGCAGGAACUCUCUGGUCAACUUAACGAACUGCUCAGCAAGGGCUUUAUAAGACCAAGUUUCUCACCUUGGGGAGCACCGGUCUUGUUCGUUAAGAAGAAAGACGGAUCAUUCCGUAUGUGUAUUGACUACAGAGAACUCAACAAACUGACGGUCAAGAAUCGUUAUCCUCUGCCUCGCAUAGACGAUCUAUUCGACCAACUGCAAGGGGCGAACUAUUUUUCCAAAAUUGAUCUGAGAUCCGGAUAUCACCAGUUACGAGUACUAGAGGAGGAUGUGCCGAAGACAGCCUUCCGAACUCGUUACGGACACUACGAGUUCGUGGUGAUGCCAUUCGGAUUGACCAAUGCGCCCGCAGUCUUCAUGGAUCUGAUGAAUAGAGUAUGCCGACCUUACUUGGAUCAGUUCGUCAUCGUUUUCAUUGACGACAUCCUGAUCUACUCCCGAAGUAAGGAAGAGCAUGGCGAUCAUCUGCGACAAGUUCUAGGGACAUUACGAAAGGAGAAACUUUAUGCGAAGUUCUCGAAAUGUGAAUUUUGGAUCCGAAGAGUCGAAUUCUUAGGACACGUGGUAAGCGAAGAGGGAAUCCACGUGGACCCAUCCAAAAUUAAAGCCAUUGAGAACUGGUCAGCACCGAAGACGCCUACAGAAAUUCGUCAAUUUCUAGGUCUCGCUGGCUACUACCGCAGGUUCAUUCAGAACUUCUCCCGAAUAGCGAAGCCUCUUACGACCCUGACCCAGAAAGGCGUGGCCUUUGACUGGGAAGAGAAGCAAGAAAGAGCGUUCCAAACGCUCAAACGAGCCUUGUGCACCGCACCAAUACUAUCCCUUCCCGAAGGAAUAGAAGACUUCGUAGUCUAUUGCGAUGCAUCAAAUCAAGGACUCGGAUGUGUUCUGAUGCAGCGAGGUAAGGUCAUCGCCUACGCCUCGAGACAGUUGAAGACACACGAGGUUAACUACACGACCCACGAUCUUGAACUAGGAGCAGUAGUGUUUGCUCUGAAGAUCUGGAGACAUUACUUGUAUGGAACGAAGAGCACUAUCUUUACCGACCACAAGAGUUUACAACACAUUUUCGAUCAGAAGGAGCUCAACAUGAGACAACGACGGUGGGUCGAGCUACUCAGUGAUUACGAAUGCGAUAUUCGUUAUCAUCCGGGUAAAGCCAACGUAGUAGCAGACGCCCUAAGUCGGAAGGAAUAUUCUGGUCGCAAAGUCAAGUCAUUAUCGAUAACCAUCCAUUCACACCUGACUAAGCAAAUUCAGGCGGCUCAACUUGAGGCCAUGAAAUCUGAAAAUGUGUCAAGUGAAUCCCUUAGAGGAAUGGACAAGAAUUUAGAAGCCAAGGGUGACGGAGCUUUAUAUUUCAUGAACCGGAUCUGGACACCGAAACAUGGUGGUUUCCGAGACUUGGUCAUGACCGAGGCGCACAACACUCGGUAUUCCGUCCACCCAGGUUCAGAUAAGAUGUAUCUGGAUCUUAAGAAGCUAUACUGGUGGCCUAAUAUGAAAGCAGAGAUUGCUACCUUCGUAAGUAAAUGCCUUACUUGCGCAAAGGUUAAGGUCGAGUACCAGAAGCCCUCUGGUUUAUUGCAGCAACCAGAGAUCCCAGAAUGGAAGUGGGAGCGGAUCACUAUGGAUUUCAUAACCAAGUUGCCCAAGACAACGGGUGGACUUGAUACCAUAUGGGUCAUCGUCGAUAGAUUGACCAAGUCUGCACACUUCCUGCCUAUCAAAGAAACUGACAAGAUGGAGAAACUUACGAGAACAUACAUUAGGGAAAUCGUACGGCUACAUGGUGUACCUAUGUCCAUUAUCUCCGAUAGAGAUAGUAGGUUCACCUCAAGAUUCUGGCAAUCACUACAACAUUCCCUAGGAACAAGGCUGGACAUGAGCACAGCCUACCACCCACAGACCGACGGACAGAGUGAGAGGACCAUCCAAACACUGGAAGAUAUUUUGCGAGCCUAUGUGAUUGACUUUGGAAAGGCAUGGGAUACUCAUUUACCCCUUGUCGAGUUUUUCUAUAAUAACAGUUAUCACACGAGCAUCAAGGCUGCUCCAUUUGAAGCCCUCUACGGCCGUAAGUACAGAUCCCCUCUAUGCUGGGAUAAGGUGGGUGAUACCCAUUUAGCCAGGGGGCAAGCUUCCAACAGUACUCUCACCGGUCCGGAGAUCAUUCGGGAAACGACAGAGAAGAUCGUUCAAAUUCGUGAACGAUUGAAAGCCUCUAGAGACCGACAGAAAAGCUACGCUGACAAGCGUAGGAAACCAUUGGAGUUCCAGGUGGGCGACCGAGUCCUACUGAAGGUCUCACCCUGGAAGGGCUUGAUACGCUUUGGAAAGCGUGGGAAGCUCAAUCCAAGAUACAUAGGGCCUUUCGAGAUUCUCGCAAGAAUCGGCCCUGUGGCUUACAAGCUCAAUCUACCGAAAGAACUCAGUAACGUACAUCCUACCUUCCACGUGUCAAACUUGAAAAAGUGUCUAUCCGACGAGACUCUUGUUAUUCCACUCGACGAGAUCGAGAUCAACGAGAGCCUCAACUUCGUGGAGGAACCAGUAGAGAUCAUGGACCGAGAGGUCAAGCAAACAAAGCAGAGCCGUAUCCCGAUAGUGAAGGUGCGCUGGAACGCAAAGCGUGGACCGGAAUUCACUUGGGAACGUGAGGAUAAGAUGAAACUGAAAUACCCUUGUCUUUUCGCUUAAUUGUUUGUAACUUCUUAAUUGCAUAAAUUCUAAUUUCGGGACGAAAUUCCUUGUAAUGGGGGGAUGAUGUGACAACCCGAAAUUUCCAUUUUUGUACGAACAUUAUCUAUUCAAUAGAAGCUAGACCAGUUUCAAUGAAUUUCAGACUUUUCCGAAUAAGUUUGUGUACAAUAGGGUUUACGUUUAAGGAGAUAUCAGGAGAGUGGAUGCUCAUGGGUUCGUGAAACUUGAGUAUUUCAAAACUUCAUAAUAUUAGAGUUCAAUUCCGGAAUAAAAAUAUUUUCUGCCAAAAAUAUCUCAGGACUAUAAAUAGAUUUCUGAACCAAAUUCAUUCAUUAUUCACAUUUCCAACUAGAGAAAAGCCAUUUUCUCUCUCACGGAUCUUCGGGUUUUCAUCCCAAAUCGUGAGUACACUUCUCUAGUUGUUUUAUAAUACUUGUUAUAUGCUUAAUAACAUAGAUUACAUGUCAAAAAUAUAUGAGAUUCGGGAGUUUACCGCCCAAGAACGUUCUUGGGGAGUAAACUCCAAAAUGAAGCUUAAAGGCUAUCUAGUCCCAUUUCCUUGUUAAGUAACUAGCUUAGGAUUAUAUGUAUGUAUAUUUGAGACUAUAAAACAAUCAAAAACACCUAGCUUAGGGUGUUCACGGCCCAAGAACUUCUUGGACCGUGAACUCCAAAUUCAAGGGCUAAAAUGUGCCUUAAUCACUCCUAAGGCUUUAGACAUUAACCCUCAUUUACUUCUAGCUAAGGACUUUAAAACAUCAAAAGCACCACUUAAAGGGAGUUUACGGCAAAGGAAAUACUCUUAGGCCGUAAACACCAAAUGAGGGCACCAAAGUGUGCCUAGGGUCCUCAUUAACCUUAGACAAAUGCCUAGAAAUUAUCCUACUUGUGCUUGGGACUUGAAAGAAUAAAAAUACCCAUCCCAUGAGAGUUUACGGCCGUAAA